GUCUAUGGCCAUACCACCCUGAAUGUGCCCGAUCUCGUCUGAUCUCAGAAGCUAAGCAGGGUCCGGCCUGGUUAGUACUUGGAUGGGAGAAAGGGAGAGGAAGAACCUACC
rnacentral:rRNA from 1 species